AGUGGCGGACGGGUGAGUAACGCGUAAGAAUCUAACUUCAGGACGGGGACAACAGUGGGAAACGACUGCUAAUACCCGAUGUGCCGCGAGGUGAAACCUAAUUGGCCUGAAGAAGAGCUUGCGUCUGAUUAGCUAGUUGGUGGGGUAAGAGCCUACCAAGGCGACGAUCAGUAGCUGGUCUGAGAGGAUGAGCAGCCACACUGGGACUGAGACACGGCCCAGACUCCUACGGGAGGCAGCAGUGGGGAAUUUUCCGCAAUGGGCGAAAGCCUGACGGAGCAACGCCGCGUGAGGGAGGAAGGUCUUUGGAUUGUAAACCUCUUUUCUCAAGGAAGAAGUUCUGACGGUACUUGAGGAAUCAGCCUCGGCUAACUCCGUGCCAGCAGCCGCGGUAAUACGGGGGAGGCAAGCGUUAUCCGGAAUUAUUGGGCGUAAAGCGUCCGCAGGUGGUCAGCCAAGUCUGCCGUCAAAUCAGGUUGCUUAACGACCUAAAGGCGGUGGAAACUGGCAGACUAGAGAGCAGUAGGGGUAGCAGGAAUUCCCAGUGUAGCGGUGAAAUGCGUAGAGAUUGGGAAGAACAUCGGUGGCGAAAGCGUGCUACUGGGCUGUAUCUGACACUCAGGGACGAAAGCUAGGGGAGCGAAAGGGAUUAGAUACCCCUGUAGUUCUAGCCGUAAACGAUGGAUACUAGGCGUGGCUU
rnacentral:rRNA from 1 species